UUUAUAUGCAACGACACUGGGUCUGGUGUUGGGGAGGAUCAGAGGUCAGGAGCAUCACAGGCCAUAUGACAAGGUAAGAAACCUGGCCGAAGAUCUGAUUCUUACAGGCGGUCAGGGAGCUGGAGAGAAGCAGGUCAAGUGACGGGGAGGAGGUGCAGGUGAUCACGUGACAUCGAGGAAGGUUCAUCCAGCCAGAACUCCUCUGAACCCCCACCUCACCGAAUGAAUGGAUCUGCAUCCCACCCACCGGCACACCCCACAGCAUCCCAUGCUCCCAGUUGGAGUCCAGCUCUGAAAACAAGUUCUCCAGACCGGGGACUGCUUUGGGUUUGGGCGGUGUAAGGUCUUGUACUUUGCGGACACUGCCUGCGGCUUCCUCUGUGUCCGUCUCAGUGCAAAGGCCACCGGACACCCAGCUGGAAACCUCCACGUGGUUCCUGAUGCUCCUCUCCCUCGCCCCUGCACAUGGGCAGUCACUGGCCCCGCCAGUCUGCCUCCCCGACAUCUAUGCCAUCGGGUGCUCUCUCCCCACCCUGUCUGAGGCCACCAUCAUCUCCCACUGGCAUCCCAUUCCAGCCUGGGUACUGCCUCAGGUCUCGUCCCUCGCUGUCCACGCCCCAUGCUCACCGUAAGAAUCACCACCGCCAUUUACCGAUGAGUAGUAACGUGCCAGGGACGGUGCUAAGCAUCUUAUGUCGGUGUCUCCUUUGCUCCUCACAACUUCCCUGAAGGAGGGAUAGCUCUCUUUUCAUAAAUGGUUAAACUGAGUUCGGAUGCUACAUAUGAAAAGACAUGAUGCACUUGGGAAAAUCGCCGGACACCGGCAGAACAUAAAUCUUAGGUCCUUUCUUGCUCUUCGGCACUCCCUGUUGUCAUCUCUGCCUCCUUUCCUUCCUUCCUUCCUUCCUUCCUUCCUUCCUCCCUUCCUUCCUUCCUUCCUCCCUUCCUUCAACAAAUCACCCCCUUGGCAUGGAACAUAAGAGCACUGCCCGUUUCUCCAAACACAUCCAUCACCUCUACCCCAAGGAACCACAGCUCUCAUUAACAAAGUAACUUGCAGCACUUGGAAUGCCAUUUAUUCGUGUUAUGCCUCUUAUCUAGAAUGUAACCUCUUCCCCUGUCAUGGUCUACCAUUUAUCUUUCAAGAUUUAUUUUAGACAUCGUCUCCACCAACAAGCCUACUUCUAAACCAUACACUUCGAAACACCCAUGAGCGCGCAGCAUGAGCUCACAAAUGCACCCACAGCAGAUCUGAGGCUCCUCUCUUGGACCCUACUGUCCCCCGGGUGUCUCCCUACCAAAGUGCUUGUCAUACUGUAUUGGAACCAUCUACCUUUCUCAGGAACACUUUUCGCUUGCAAUUUGCCUCAGGGCAGGGACUGGCUUUUUGUCCGUGACCUCCCGGAAUCCAGUACCUGAAUUUCGGCACACAGUGGGCGCUCGAUGGCAUUUGCUGAAUGAAUGCGGGAGCAAAUGAAUAGUAUAACCUUACCUUGUCACGGCAUACUUGGAAUGGAGCGAGAAGUUAAAGAAAUGAGAAGCUGUGAGCAGCCCUCUGAUUCCACCAAACCCACUGGAUUAACAAAAACCUGAAAGUAAACAGCACAAAAUGAUAUCCCUGCAUGAGCUACUAUUAUACCUUGCAUCCUACAAUCACACCAGUUCAAUCUAAAUGCCCCCAAAACAUAAUUUCAUUAAUUCAGGCCAUUUCAGAACAGCUCGACAUUUUCUCGUCUUGGAUUUUCCGUGGUCAUCAGUUUUCAGCGGAGAAGGAUGCCAGCACAGGCCACCUUAGCAAUGUGGUGAGGAGCCCACGGCACAGGGAAGACGACGGGACAGCGAGGGGCUGGUGGAGGAACGAAGAGGGGAACUGGAAACGUUGAUUUGGGGAUGAAAAAAAGAAGAAGAAGAAGAAGAAGAAAAGAAAAAAACGAGCGGAGAAGAAGAGAGAAGGAGAUCCAGGAGGAAUCCUGCGGGCAGGUACACGGAGCUGCACUGGCGUCACCUGCCUGUGGCUGGCACCGCCCGGGGAGCUGAGAAACGCCGUGACACCGGGCUGAGCGUCGCCUGCAGACACGGGACCGGGCCCCAGAGCUGCUUUCAAGGCCAGCGUUCAAGGUGUCUUAUGGCCUCCGAGUCAAACCCUUUAUAGAGAUUUCCUCCUGUGACAGAAUCCUUGGACCGACACAGAUGCACCGUGUGUAGUUAAUUUACUUUAUCAGAGGG